rnacentral:rRNA from 1 species
UUCCUACGGGACGCAGCAGUGGGGAAUAUUGCACAAUGGGGGAAACCCUGAUGCAGCGACGCCGCGUGAGUGAAGAAGUAUUUCGGUAUGUAAAGCUCUAUCAGCAGGGAAGAAAAUGACGGUACCUGACUAAGAAGCCCCGGCUAACUACGUGCCAGCAGCCGCGGUAAUACGGAGGAUGCGAGCGUUAUCCGGAUUUAUUGGGUUUAAAGGGUGCGCAGGCGGCCUGUUAAGUCAGCGGUAAAAACCCGGGGCUCAACCCCGGCGAGCCGUUGAAACUGGCUGGCUGGAGUUGGAGAGAAGUA